rnacentral:lncRNA from 1 species
AAAGGUAAUCUUUACAAAAAUGUCUUAUCAUACAAAAAAUAUGUACUUUAGCCAAUAUAUUACAUUGAAGAAAUCAUGCAACACGAAAAAUGAUUUUUAUAGAAUACUCCUCAAAUCUUUUUCAAUUGAAACUUCACUAACAAAAAAAUGCCUCGCAAAAGCUAAGAAACAAAUGAUAAGCCAACUUCGCAAACUUUAAAAUCAGUGAAUUAAUUUUAUACUUUUGAAUUAGUUGACUGCUUUUUGAGUGCAAUACUGAACAAUAAAUUUUCUAGCAACAAUAUGUCAACUAAGAAUAGUUUGUUACUUUAGAAACUUAGGAAGUUUCAAUGUGUAAUCUGUCAUCCUGUGCGAACCAUCUUUAUAUUUUUGGAAAAUUACAUUUUGCAGCUUCAACUACACAAAUACUUCUUCGCUCAAUGACUGAAUUUAUAAAGCAUUAAAUAAAAAACAAAAUAAAAUUUCAACAAUUAAAUACGUACUCUAUUACUUUUGCUAAUGUAUAACAAUUUAUUCAAUUUUACAGAUUCUUUUUAUCUUUAUAAAUUUUAUUUACCAAUUAGUAAUUUUUUAGGCAAUGACUAAAUAUAUACAAUUUUGAAUACAUUAAAAACACUUCGUUCCAAUGCAUAAAUACUUAAUUAAAUGAAUGGAAAUAAACUAUAUUCAAAUUCAAUUUGCAUUUACACAUUCCAACUACUAACAUUUAUUCCUCCCACAUUUGAACUACCAACAUUUAUUCACCCCACAUUUCAACUACCAACAUUUACUCACCAACAUCUAUCCUUCGUCUAUUUACAUAAACAUUCGAACUACUACUCACCUUUAACCAUUUUCUUUUUGGCAAGCAUUUUGCAAGCUUCCUGCCUAAUCAAGCUUCCUACGUGAUCGACUACAGCAAAAAGGUAACCUUCAUGUGAUAAAAAUAAAUUUAAAAUCUAUUUAUGAAUACUAUUAUGUUAAAAAGUUAUACAAAUGAUCUUUAAAUUUUUUGCUAUUCAAGAUUAAAUCUGUAGUGUCGAGUUCUCCUAUGAUAGUUUAAGGUAGCACACUAAAAUCAUGUUUUACAGUAUAACAUGUCCAUAUUAAUUUUUUUUUUACCUUAAGAAGACGCCGAAGUGUAGCACUCCACGCAGCACGGAGUGGGAAUGUCCACACUCUGCUCUGCGCGGAGUACGGAGACUCCGAGCUGUUUGCACUCCGCGUUGCAUGGAGUGCACUCCGCGAUAAAACUGAUCUUCGUCUUUAAAAAAUACUCUCCAACUAUAUUCUAAAUAGGAUCUCAGAUACACUGAUGAUAUGAGUAAAUGAGAUUUAAACAAAAUUUAACAUUCCUUCUAAAAAAAUUAUUUUAAUCCCUUUUGGAUAUAAAAUUUAGGUUUUUCCAAUUUAUCACUUCGAAAAAAUAAAAAUUCAACAGAAUUAACAUGAUGUAUUUUCUGAAAUCAACUAACACGCAUAAUGUGAAAAUUUUCAUUUGUCUAUUAACACUAGAAAAUCUUCUUGUUUAACUAACUAAUUUUUUACUUAACAUAAUCCUCAAUUACAUCAGACCAUUGUUUUUAUUUGCAUAAUUAACGCAAUUAUUAAAAAGUUUUUGACAAGCAU